AUUGAACGCUGGCGGCAUGCCUUACACAUGCAAGUCGAACGGCAGCAUGGAGAGCUUGCUCUCUGAUGGCGAGUGGCGAACGGGUGAGUAAUGCAUCGGAACGUACCGUGUAAUGGGGGAUAACGUAGCGAGAGUUACGCUAAUACCGCAUACGACCUGAGGGUGAAAGCAGGGGAUCGCACGACCUUGCGUUAUACGAGCGGCCGAUGUCAGAUUAGCUAGUUGGUGAGGUAAAGGCUCACCAAGGCGACGAUCUGUAGCGGGUCUGAGAGGAUGAUCCGCCACACUGGGACUGAGACACGGCCCAGACUCCUACGGGAGGCAGCAGUGGGGAAUUUUGGACAAUGGGGGCAACCCUGAUCCAGCCAUGCCGCGUGAGUGAAGAAGGCCUUCGGGUUGUAAAGCUCUUUCGGCCGGGAAGAAAUCGCACAGGCUAAUACUCUGUGUGGAUGACGGUACCGGCAUAAGAAGCACCGGCUAACUACGUGCCAGCCGCCGCAGUAA
rnacentral:rRNA from 1 species